rnacentral:rRNA from 1 species
GGGACGGGUGAGUAAUGUCUGGGGAUCUGCCCGAUAGAGGGGGAUAACCACUGGAAACGGUGGCUAAUACCGCAUAACGUCGCAAGACCAAAGAGGGGGACCUUCGGGCCUCUCACUAUCGGAUGAACCCAGAUGGGAUUAGCUAGUAGGCGGGGUAAUGGCCCACCUAGGCGACGAUCCCUAGCUGGUCUGAGAGGAUGACCAGCCACACUGGAACUGAGACACGGUCCAGACUCCUACGGGAGGCAGCASWGGGGAAUAUUGCACAAUGGGCGCAAGCCUGAUGCAGCCAUGCCGCGUGUAUGAAGAAGRCCUUCGGGUUGUAAAGUACUUUCAGCGGGGAGGAAGGCGABRSGGUUAAUAACCCCGUCGAUUGACGUUACCCGCAGAAGAAGCACCGGCUAACUCCGUGCCAGCASCCGCGGUAAUACGGAGGGUGCAAGCGUUAAUCGGAAUUACUGGGCGUAAAGCGCACGCAGGCGGUCUGUUAAGUCAGAUGUGAAAUCCCCGGGCUUAACCUGGGAACUGCAUUUGAAACUGGCAGGCUUGAGUCUUGUAGAGGGGGGUAGAAUUCCAGGUGUAGCGGUGAAAUGCGUAGAGAUCUGGAGGAAUACCGGUGGCGAAGGCGCCCCCUGGACAAAGACUGACGCUCAGGUGCGAAAGCGUGGGGAGCAAACAGGAUUAGAUACCCUGGUAGUCCACGCCGUAAACGAUGUCGACUUGGAGGUUGUUCCCUUGAGGAGUGGCUUCCGGAGCUAACGCGUUAAGUCGACCGCCUGGGGAGUACGGCCGCAAGGUUAAAACUCAAAUGAAUUGACGGGGGCCCGCACAAGCGGUGGAGCAUGUGGUUUAAUUCGAUGCAACGCGAAGAACCUUACCUACUCUUGACAUCCACGGAAUUUGGCAGAGAUGCCUUAGUGCCUUCGGGAACCGUGAGACAGGUGCUGCAUGGCUGUCGUCAGCUCGUGUUGUGAAAUGUUGGGUUAAGUCCCGCAACGAGCGCAACCCUUAUCCUUUGUUGCCAGCGAUUCGGUCGGGAACUCAAAGGAGACUGCCGGUGAUAAACCGGAGGAAGGUGGGGAUGACGUCAAGUCAUCAUGGCCCUUACGAGUAGGGCUACACACGUGCUACAAUGGCGCAUACAAAGAGAAGCGACCUCGCGAGAGCAAGCGGACCUCACAAAGUGCGUCGUAGUCCGGAUCGGAGUCUGCAACUCGACUCCGUGAAGUCGGAAUCGCUAGUAAUCGUGGAUCAGAAUGCCACGGUGAAUACGUUCCCGGGCCUUGUACACACCGCCCGUCRCRCCAUGGGAGUGGGUUGCAAAAGAAGUAGGUAGCUUAACCUUCGGGAGGGCGCUUAC